rnacentral:sRNA from 1 species
CUCCUGGGGUGGAGGGAGGCUCUCUGCCAGGCCAGAGCUGAGAUCUGUAAUUGGUCCCUAGGGCAGAGGUGGCCACCCCCGUCUCAUGCCCCUCCCCCUGCCCCCCAGGAGUGAACUACGUGCACCAGUUCUGUGUGGGGGCAGCCAAGGGGGUGCUGAGCCCGUUUGUGCUGCAGGAGAUCGUCAUGGAGACGCUGCAGCGGCUGAGUCCCGCUCAUGCCCACAACCACCUGCGUGCCCCGGCCUUCCACCAACUGGUGCAGCGCUGCCAGCAGGCAUACAUGCAGUACAUCCACCACCGCUUGAUUCACCUGACUCCUGCGGACUACGACGACUUUGUGAAUGCGAUCCGGAGCGCCCGCAGCGCCUUCUGCCUGACGCCCAUGGGCAUGAUGCAGUUCAACGACAUCCUACAGAACCUCAAGCGCAGCAAACAGACCAAGGAGCUGUGGCAGCGGGUCUCA